UGUUUUUGUCUCUUCCAUUUUCAAUCAUUUUAAUUCGAUGAAUACGGAUCAAACUCGUCCCAAGUUUGGAAUUUCGUACACUUAAGAGCUAGGCCUGGCUUGUAUAGAAAAAGAAAAGCCUGUAUUUGAAAUACGGGGACAAAGCAAACAACUGACAUUAAAGGAUAAAUUAAAAGUUCUAAAAGAUGUCUCCAAGGCGCCUAUUCACAGGAACAAAUCCAAAUUUGGAGCAAAUGACUUCUGAUAACUUAUACCAUUUAGCGGUAAAUAUACCAGAUACCAAGAGCACAGCUGAGAUUAAAAAACAAUACG